UACAGAGGUCUCAAGCGUUGUUCGGAUUCAUUGGGCGUAAAGGGCGCGUAGGCGGCGGGGUAAGUCGGGUGUGAAAUCUCAGAGCUCAACUCUGAAAUGGCACUUGAUACUGCUCUGCUAGAGGACUGGAGAGGAGAUUGGAAUUCACGGUGUAGCAGUGAAAUGCGUAGAUAUCGUGAGGAAGACCGGUGGCGAAGGCGGAUCUCUGGACAGUUCCUGACGCUGAGGCGCGAAGGCCAGGGGAGCAAACAGG
rnacentral:rRNA from 1 species